GUGGCAAAUUUGUUGUACUUGCAAUGACAUAGUUUACCUUUGUUGUUAGACUAUCAUAUCUGGAAUGGGAGAACUACAUUUAGAUAUUUAUGUUGAACGUAGUCGGAGAGAGUAUAAGGUACCUAUUCCUUUCCCAUGCAUUAAUGUUGUUAAUCCUUGCUGAUACUGGUUUUAUAUUUCCUGCUUCUGGAGUUUCAUUAUUAUGUUCCUACUUGUUAAGGUUGAUGCAACUGUUGGAAAGCCCCAUGUAAACUUCAGAGAAACUGUUACACAACGUGCUGAUUUUGAUUAUUUACACUAGAAGCAAUCUGGAGGGCAAGGUCAAUAUGGACGGGUAAUCGGGUAUGUAUCGGUAAUUUUUAUAUUAGUUACCAUACAUAAGAUUUUUUUUUUAUUAAAAUCAGAUUAGACAUGUGGAUUGCCCGAGAGUGGCACUUUGCACUAUGAUCGUCAUAUGCUCUAAUUAUUAUUAUUAUUUGUAUCCCACUAAUUUACAUCUCACAUUUACAAUAUCAAUAAUCAAGAUUUGGAUUUGUUUCUCAUUAAAGUGUUAGAUAUAAAAUCGUGUCGCUGACCAACAAUUUAAGUUCAUGGGAAAGAUGGUUCAUAUCAUGGUAUAUUACUGUACCAGAACCUAUUCUAUGGUUGUUUUUGGGUCACCCCAAAAUGUCUAGUCAACCAAAUAGCAAGUCUUUGUCCAGUCUUGAGCAUGAGAAGGUAUAUUAUAGUUCCACAUGUCCUAAGGAUAAGGUGUGGUAGAAGCCUUUACAAGUCUAGGGCAACCCUCUCCCUUGAGCUAUUUUUUAAAGUUUAAUUAGAGUGACUGAGUUUCAAUAAUGGUGUAAGAGCUUCUAUGACUAGACAGAGGGUUCAAUCCUUGUUGUCUCUCAAUUAUUCUUAAUAAAAGCUGCAUCCCAAGAUAGGAUGGACCUGUGCAUUGUCCAUUCUUCAAACUCAAAAAGAAUAAGCGACAUUCGUGUGAAGAGGCCUGUUCGAUAUUAAACCAUUCUUUUGAGUUUUACCUUUAUCCAAUUACAAUAAUUACAACUUUAGGAGAGAUACUUACUGACAAACUGUUAGCAUCAAAGAUAUAACUCCGAAUAAAGUUUAAUUGCAAUUACAAUUACAAUUUUCAAUACCCUAUGGUUGGAGCAUAGAAAUCAUGUGAACCAACCUUGCAAGAAAUAUAAUGACUGUGACUUCGUCUUGAUUAACUUUCUCUCAAACAACCGCAUGUCUAAAUAUGCAUAGACCUUGCAUGCAAGGCAAGAUUAGGGAGUAGGCAC
rnacentral:lncRNA from 1 species